CAGCCGCCGCGGUAAUACGUAGGUGGCAAGCGUUGUCCGGAAUUAUUGGGCGUAAAGGGCUCGCAGGCGGUUUCUUAAGUCUGAUGUGAAAGCCCCCGGCUCAACCGGGGAGGGUCAUUGGAAACUGGGAAACUUGAGUGCAGAAGAGGAGAGUGGAAUUCCACGUGCAGCGGUGAAAUGCGUAGAGAUGUGGAGGUACACCAGUGGCGAAGGCGACUCUCUGGUCUGUAACUGACGCUGAGGAGCGAAAGCGUGGGGAGCGAACAGGAUUAGAUACCCCAGUAGUCCCUGUCUCUUAUAC
rnacentral:rRNA from 1 species